GCUGUUGAUCAGGCUCACAGGCAGAAUUUGUCUUCUCUUUUUCUGCCAGUAUUUGAAUCUGUUAACCCAUGCCUGAUAUUAAUGGUGAGGAGAGACAAUAUUGUAGGAGAUGCUGUGGAAGUCCUAAGGAAGACAAAGAGCGUAGACUACAAGAAGCCACUGAAGGUUAUUUUUGUAGGGGAAGAAGCUGUUGAUGUUGGGGGUGUUCGCAAA